UACAGUACCGGUCUGUUUCCCGACGGUUGUGGACCCCUGAUUACCGUAUGCAUUUUUUCCCCGUCUUUGGCUCGGUACCAAGCGUCCCUCGGACCGGUACCGGUUUGCAGCCAGAGGUUGGGGACCCGUGAUUUACUGAGAACAGCCACCACUUCAAAAAAACGACGAGUUGGGAACACUUAAAAUGUCAAAAAGUGAUGGAUACGGCCCCUAACCAUACGUCCAGAGAUGGAGCUCUUGUUUGAAGAAUGCCCCAUACCAAGCAGAGCUGAGAGGCUGAGACGUGACCCGACAAGCAACAGGGUUCAAGGUGUCAGUCAUCCAGAGAGAAGGACACCGGGAUGGCAGCUUUGUGGCGGGAAGCGGAGGAGGACGCCAUUCCGUGGGGUGGUUAGGGGGCUGUACGCACAAACCACAAGGAUACAAAGCAAAGAGACAAGAUGAGUUUUAUUUUUAGAGUUCCUUUUAAACUAGAUUUGAGAAUUUACACUAUAGGCUAGUUUUUUAAAUAUAUAUAUAUAUAUGUUGAAGAAAAGUCAAUUUAUGGACAAAUCUGUAAAAUAAUAUAUGGAAAAGUGGUAAAAACAAAAAGACGUUAAGUUAAUUUUAUGACAGUAAUGUAAAUGUAUGUAUUUUCAAAUACUAUAACCUUAAGUAAAAAGAAAAAAAAA